AAAAAAUGACAGGUCCAGGGGUGACCCCCACUGUGGAGGAGGGGUCUGGGGGUGCCCCCCCCCAAAAAAUGAGAGGUUCAGGGGUGACCCCUGCCAUGGAGGAGGGGUCUGGGGGUGCCCCCCCCCCAAAAAUGAGAGGUUCAGGGGUGACCCCUGCCAUGGAGGAGGGGGCUGGGGGUGCCCCCUUGCUGUGGAGGAGGGGUCUGGGGGUGACCCCCCCCAAAAAUGACAGGUCCAGAGGUGUCCCCCACUGUGGAGGAGGGGGCUGGGGGUGCCCCCCCCCCAAAAAUGAGAGGUUCAGGGGUGACCCCUGCCAUGGAGGAGGGGUCUGGGGGUGCCCCCCCCCCAAAAAUGAGAGGUCCAGGGGUGUCCCCCACUGUGGAGGAGGGGUCUGGGGGUGACCCCUUGCUGUGGAGGAGGGGUCUGGGGGUGCCCUCCCCCUCUCCCCAAAAAAUGACAGGGUUGGGGGUGACCCCUGCCAUGGAUGAGGGGUCUGGGGGUGCCCCCCCCCCAAAAAAUGACAGGUUCAGGGGUGACCCCCUCCCCAAAAAUGACAGGUUUGGGGUGUCCCCCACCGUGGAUGAGGGGUCUGGGGGUGACCCCUGCUGUGGAGGAGGGGUCUGGGGGUGAUGGAUGAGGGGUCUGGGGGUGCCCCCCCCAAAAAUGACAGGUCCAGGGGUGCCCCCACCCAUGAAUGAGGGGUCUGGGGGUGUCCCCAGGUGUGGACGAUGAAUCUGGGGGUGCCCCCCCCAUGGAUGAUGGACCUGGGGGUGCCCCCCACCCCAUGGACAAUGAAUCUGGGGGUGCCCCCCCCAUGGAUGAUGGAUCUGGGGGUGCCCCCCACCCCAUAGACAAUGGAUCUGGGGGUGCCCCCCCCAUGGACAAUGAAUCUGGGGGUGCCCCCCACCCCAUAGACAAUGGAUCUGGGGGUGCCCCCCACCCCAUGGACAAUGAAUCUGGGGGUGCCCCCCCCAUGGAUGAUGGAUCUGGGGGUGCCCCCCACCCCAUAGACAAUGGAUCUGGGGGUGCCCCCCCCAUGGAUGAUGGAUCCAAGAGUGCCCCCCCCAUGGACGCUGGGUCUUGGGGUGCCCCCCCCGUGGACAAAGGGUCUGGGGGUGCCCCCCACCCUGUGAAUGAGGGGUCCGAGGGUGCCCCCCCC